rnacentral:rRNA from 1 species
CAGCCGCCGCGGUAAUACCGGCGGCCCGAGUGGUGGCCGCUAUUAUUGGGCUUAAAGCGUCCGUAGCCGGGUUGGUUAGUCUCCCGGGAAAUCUGGCCGCUUAACGGUCAGAAUUCCGGGAGAUACUGCCAGCCUAGGGACCGGGAGAGGCCGAGGGUAUUCCCGGAGUAGGGGUGAAAUCCUAUAAUCCCGGGAGGACCACCUGUGGCGAAGGCGCUCGGCUGGAACGGGUCCGACGGUGAGGGACGAAGGCCAGGGGAGCAAACCGGAUUAGAUACCCGGGUAGUCCUGGCUGUAAACGAUGCGGACUUUGUGUCGGACAAGCUAUGAGCUUGUCCGGUGCCGGAGGGAAACCGUUAAGUCCGCCGCCUGGGGAGUACGGCCGCAAGGCUGAAACUUAAAGGAAUUGGCGGG